rnacentral:misc_RNA from 1 species
GCGAGUCUCUGAACUCCCAACCUUUGUGAACGUACCACGUUGCUUCGGCGGAUCGCCCCGGGGCCGACAGUGCGCUGCCCCGGAGCCAGGCGCCCGCCGGGGGACCCAAAACAUCUUGUUUCCUAGUGGAAUCUUCUGAGUCGUGGCGUAAAUAAGCAAUCA